UUGGAGGGCAAGUCUGGUGCCAGCAGCCGCGGUAAUUCCAGCUCCAAUAGCGUAUAUUAAAGUUGUUGCAGUUAAAAAGCUCGUAGUUGAAUUUCGGGGUUAGUAGGUUGGUCAUGCCUCUGGUAUGUACUGGUCUCACUGAUUCCUCCUUCCUGAUGAGCCGUAAUGCCAUUAAUUUGGUGUUGCGGGGAAUUUGGACUGUUACUUUGAAAAAAUUAGAGUGUUUAAAGCAAGCUAACGCUUGAAUACAUUAGCGUGGAAUAAUGAAAUAGGACGUUCGAUCCUAUUUUGUUGGUUUCUAGGAUUGACGUAAUGAUUAAUAGGGAUAGUUGGGGGCAUUAGUAUUCAAUUGUCAGAGGUGAAAUUCUUGGAUUUAUUGAAGACUAACUACUGCGAAAGCAUUUGCCAAGGAUGUUUUCAUUAAUCAAGAACGAAAGUUAGGGGAUCGAAGACGAUCAGAUACCGUCGUAGUCUUAACCAUAAACUAUGCCGACUAGGGAUCGGAUGAUGUUAAUUUUUUAAUGACUUAUUCGGCGCCUUACGGGAAACCAAAGUGUUUGGGUUC
rnacentral:rRNA from 1 species